CUGAUUGAGAUUUUAACACGAAGUGAGUGGCGAACGGGUGAGUAACACGUGGGUAACCUGCCCAGAAGUAGGGGAUAACACCUGGAAACAGAUGCUAAUACCGUAUAACAGAGAAAACCGCAUGGUUUUCUUUUAAAAGAUGGCUCUGCUAUCACUUCUGGAUGGACCCGCGGCGUAUUAGCUAGUUGGUGAGGUAAAGGCUCACCAAGGCAGUGAUACGUAGCCGACCUGAGAGGGUAAUCGGCCACAUUGGGACUGAGACACGGCCCAGACUCCUACGGGAGGCAGCAGUAGGGAAUCUUCCACAAUGGACGCAAGUCUGAUGGAGCAACGCCGCGUGAGUGAAGAAGGGUUUCGGCUCGUANAGCUCUGUUGUUAAAGAAGAACGUGGGUAAGAGUAACUGUUACC
rnacentral:rRNA from 1 species